GCGCGAAUGGCGGUAAUAAGGGAUCCUUUCUCGAUCCAUACCUCGUGACCGCUGUAGACCUCCGUGGCGACGGCCACGAAGGGCCGGUCGAGA
rnacentral:sRNA from 1 species